AGAGUUUGAUCCUGGCUCAGAUUGAACGCUGGCGGAAUGCUUUACACAUGCAAGUCGAACGAUGAAGCCUAGCUUGCUAGGUGAAUUAGUGGCGGACGGGUGAGUAAUAUAUCGGAACGUGUCCAUUAAUGGGGGAUAACUAAUCGAAAGGUUAGCUAAUACCGCAUACGCCCUGAGGGGGAAAGCUGGGGAUCUUCGGACCUAGCGUUAAUGGAGCGGCCGAUACCUGAUUAGCUAGUUGGUGGGGUAAAAGCCUACCAAGGCAACGAUCAGUAGCUGGUCUGAGAGGACGACCAGCCACACUGGGACUGAGACACGGCCCAGACUCCUACGGGAGGCAGCAGUGGGGAAUUUUGGACAAUGGGGGCAACCCUGAUCCAGCCAUUCCGCGUGAGUGAAGAAGGCCUUCGGGUUGUAAAGCUCUUUCGCAAGGGAAGAAACGAUAUAGGUUAAUAGCUUAUGUUAAUGACGGUACCUUGACAAGAAGCACCGGCUAACUACGUGCCAGCAGCCGCGGUAAUACGUAGGGUGCAAGCGUUAAUCGGAAUUACUGGGCGUAAAGCGUGCGCAGGCUGUUUUGUAAGUCAGAUGUGAAAUCCCCGAGCUCAACUUGGGAACUGCGUUUGAAACUAC
rnacentral:rRNA from 1 species